CCAUCUCUAUCCCUCUCUUUCUACCUCCGUCUUCAACCCAAAUAUCAUCCAUAUAAUCUAUCUGUCUCCACCGCUGCCUCCGUCCUCGAAGACCAACCACAAUCAGAAUCAGACCCACUUCAGUUCACCAACUACGACGAAGAGGAAAGCUACGGAGAGGUUAAAAAAAUCAUCGGAAGCAGAGCACUUGAAAAUGGCGCCGGAAUGGAGUACCUAAUCGAAUGGGAAGACGAUCACGUGCCGACAUGGGUUCCGGGAAAUCUAAUCGCAGGUGACGUGGUCGCCGAGUACGAUAAUCCAUGGUGGGUCGCCGCA
rnacentral:lncRNA from 1 species